GUCUCAGUAGAUUCCAGAGACCACCUUCUCCAUUUUCUUUUACUCUCCUGCAUGUGUAUAAAUUUCCAAUACCUGCACACAAUAAAAAAGGCAGAAAAUUAAAGAGCAUUAAAUACUCCAUAUUCACCUGGUUGGGUUUCUUUACAUGAUAUCAGAGCAGUGCCUGUGAUAAGCACUGAUUUCUUUGAUUUUUACAUUACACUAUUAUUCUACUACUCAAUGGCAAACCCUAAUACAGAUGUGUUGACACUCCUAAACUCGGAUCAGCAUGGAAUGCAACUUGUCACAACCACCCUUGAUGGCUCCAACCACUUGUCUUGGAGCCGAGCCAUGGUGAUUGCGUUUAGAGCUAAGGACAAGCUCGUUCUCGUUGAUGGCAGAUGCAAAAAGCCCGAACCUGAUGCAGCAGAAUAUGAAUAAUGACACAAAACAGACAGCAUGGUGGUGUCUUAGAUCCUAAACUCGAUGAAUAAAGAGCUCGCUAACGCCUUCCUGUUUACCACAUCAGCAAAAAACUUGUGGGAUGAAAUAAAAGAGAGCCUAUUAUACAAAACUCAAAAGGCUAUGGGAUGAGUUAA